rnacentral:rRNA from 1 species
CCUACGGGAGGCAGCAGUAGGGAAUAUUGCUCAAUGGCGGAAACCCUGAAGCAGCCACGCCGCGUGGGGGAUGAAGGUUUUCGGAUUGUAAACUCCUUUUUUUAGAGAAGAUAAUGACUGUAUCUAACGAAUAAGCACCGUCUAACUCCGUCCCGGCAGCCGCGGUAAUACGGAGGGUGCAGGCGUUACUCGGAUUCACUGGGCGUAAAGAGCGCGUAGGCGGGAUAGCAAGUCAGAUGUGAAAUCCUAUGGCUUAACCAUAGAACUGCAUGUGAAACUGUUAUUAUAGAGUAUGGGAGAGGUAGGUGGAAUUCGUGGUGGAGGGGUAAAAUCCGUAGAGAUCAAGAGGAAUACUCAUUGCGAAGGCGACCUGCUAGAACAUAACUGACGCUGAUGCGCGAAAGCGCGGGGAGCAAACAGGAUUAGAUACCCGAGUAGUC